GAUGAAGAACGUAGCGAAAUGCGAUAAGUAAUGAGAAUUGCAGAAUUCAGUGAAUCAUCGAAUCUUUGAACGCACAUUGCGCCCGCCAGUAUUCUGGCGGGCAUGCCUGUUCGAGCGUCAUUUCAACCAUCAAGCCCCGGGCUUGUGUUGGGGACCUGCGGCUGCCGCAGGCCCUGAAAAGCAGUGGCGGGCUCGCUGUCACACCGAGCGUAGUAGCAUAUAUCUCGCUCUGGGCGUGCUGCGGGUUCCGGCCGUUAAACCACCUUUUAACCCAAGGUUGACCUCGGAUCAGGUAGGAAGACCCGCUGAACUUAAGCAUAUCAAUAAGCGGAGGA
rnacentral:misc_RNA from 1 species